UACAAGCAAAGAUGUAGAGACAUGAAUUUUUCUAAUUCAUGUGUGGAGAAAAGAAAAUCACCUAAUGCACAUAAAAGUUUAAAUAAUUCCAUGCAUGCUCAAAUCCGUUCACUCCCAGAAAACAUAACAGGUCUAAACCAGAAUGCUAACAGCUAAUUUCCCAAAAUCUAAAGAAACAUAGCUUGUGAUAAAAUAUAUACAUAAAUAGUGUCAUGGCAUGUGAUGAUAAUGGACCCAUCUGGUAUUAGAUUCUUGGAAUGUUAGUUUGGUUUUUUGUCACAAAAUUAAAGACCAAAUCAGCAUUGAACAAAAAGUAUUAGAAAUUAUAACAAUGAUCACAAAUAUGGAACAAAGAAAAAUAUUCCACCAUUAAAGAAUGAAUAAUAAUGUGGUUGAAGAGGCACAUGGUUAGAUUUGAUUGAUACGUAUGAAAGAAUAAUAUGGGUUGCUCUCCUAGUUCGAUGUUUUUAAUUUUCUAUUGUUAAUACCUUCAGGGUAUGUCGUGCGUGCCACUUGGAACUUAGUGCAAAUCAAUCCCCGUGAAUUUGCGUAGCUGUUAGCGUUAUGUAUUAGUAAAUAUGAGUUGGUUUGUAGCUGCAGGUAUAUACGCAGCUGUCAGUGUAUGUGUUAUUGUCAUGACUUUUUUUUUCCCCUUAGUUGAUACAUGUAUAAACAAUGAAAAGCUUCAACAUGCAAAGACACUAGAAGUUCAAAAGCCUGCUUUCCAACGAGAGGAUUGAUGCUCACUUGAUAAUUCAUAUUUUAUGGAACUGUCACUGCAGUUGAGAAAUUGGAAGUUGAAGAAUUUUGAGAUGUUUGAAUUUGUAGUGUAAUCUGUUUGGCAUUAGGUUAUAUCCAAAUUUGGUAUUUUGCUGUUUGUAGUGGUGGUUUGAGAAUUAUUGUAUCCAACCUUGGUGUAAUUAUUUUGAUUUUAAGAAUAGAUGGAUGUGAAUGCGUAGGCAAAUUAUGGGUUACAGAUGAGUUGGAGAAUUAUUUGCUAGUUGAUGAAUGUAGUUUUGAAUGUUAGAGUUGAUGGAUGUAAUUUUUGUUGUACACGUUUUGGAUUACUUCUACAGAUUUGAUGAAUGUAAUUUUUCUUGUAAUGCAUUGCUUAUGCUAGGUGCUGAAAGUGAUUGAAUACAUUCUGUUUUACCUCUCCCACCAUACCAAGAUGAUUCAGGUGCUAGAACUCCACGUUGGUUAAGGUUUUAUAUAGGAUACGUAAUUAUUUAUUUAAUUCCUUUACUUAAAUUGGGUUUGUUUCACCAAGAGCUUUUAGAAUAAUCUGGAAAUUGCUGAAGAUGAAUUUAGAACCUUUUUUUCUCUCUAUUGCUUCAUAAUUUGUUUAUGAUUGAAGCUUGUGUCAGUCCUGCUGAUACAAAUGUUGAGGAAACAAUAAACACUCCGAAGUAUGCAAAUCGUGCUCAUAACAUUCAGAACAGGGCAGUUAUAAGUUUUCUUUUGUAUUUCUUUUUUUGCAUGUCAUGUCAUGCUUCUCUUCCUGACGAACUGGCCUUCUUUCUUGAUGUACAUCAACCGUGAUCCAAUGGCAGCUCAGGAGCAGAGAAUGAGGAGACAAAUUGAGCAGUCGCAGGCUGAGCUUCUAUUUUAUCGUGGGGAUGCCAGUUCACUAUUUGAGGAACUCCAGCAUUACAAAAAGAAGAUUCAGGAGCUAGAACAUGAGAAUAAGUCUUUGCGAGUCAGUGCUGUUUCUGUGAAUGACAGGUCAUUAUAGUAAGUCAUUCUCUACUCCAUUGUUAAUUGGAAGGAAUAUAUUGAGGAACUGAGACACAAUUUUGCAAAUAUUUCAUUGACUUCUGAUGAUGGUGCUCAAAAGUUGAAUAUCCUGGGGGCACAGGUGAAUAUUGAAUCGCCCCUGCCAUCUCAAGUCUCAAUGACAUUCAUAGUUCUGAGAGACUAGACUCAUGCUUUGGGUUGCAGGUUGCUCAACUUUUGAGACAAAUACAUAGAACGGACAAGGCAGCGAAACAACUUCUAGAAUCUCGAAAGGCUUCCUCCUCAUGCGAAACUUCCAGUGCUGAAAAUGGAAAUGGUCCUGGAAUUCAGGUAUUUAUAAUACCCGUAUAAGGACUACUUAGAAAGAAACUGUAUUUGAAGGAUUGGUUUGUGAAUGCAAUGAUGACUAAAUGAUCUGGUGUUAUAUAAUGAUGACUAACACAUUCUUGUUAUUGAGAAGAAUCUGAUGCAGGCAAUUGGACAUGUGCUUGAAGUCGCCGUGCGGGUAUAUGAAGAGCAGGCUUUCAUGUUUAAUUUGUUUCAUUUUCCUUUCUCUGGAAAUUUGAGACGAUAAAUCGGAGAGAAGGAUUGAGAUAUAAGAGACUUGAAGGAAAAGAUAGUGAAGCUCAGUAGCUAUGGCAGGCAGUUGGAGAUGCAAAAACCAGAACCUAAACAACUGGUGAAGUUGCAGGAUCACGGGAGGAUCACGGGAGCUCCAUUUUCUUAUUGGAGGACAUGGAUCCGUGUGAGUCAAAAUAUUCGGAUUGGGAAUCUACUGAUGACGAAUGGAUAGCGUCAGUAAAGUGCUGGGGUAGGAAAUGAAACACUAAAAACCAAGGUCAUUCAUCCGGUCAAUCUGAUCGAAAAGAUUCAAAAAGCUUGAAAUUAGGCUGUUCAGGUGAGGGAAUUACUGGUGAAACUGCUAAUACCCCAUCAGGUGCAUGCUGCUCUUGUAGUAGAUACUCUUCAUGCAAAACAAGGAAAUGCCCAUGCCGAGCUGCUGGGGGUAGUUGUGGGAGUUCUUGCGGUUGUGUGCCCAUGAAAUGCGCCAACAGAGAAUGUGUCUUGGCUCAGUGUCAGAUGAAACAGAGAAGAGUCGCAUUCUUGCUUUGCAAUGUGGAAUGUUACUUCAGAGCGCUCUGGUCGAGAAGCCUGCCGAGACAAAUGAUGAUAAGUAGUCCAAAAGGAAGCCUUUAUCUGAUAUCGGAAACAGAAAGUUCUUGCAGAACUUUUCAACACUACUCGUGACAAUAUGUACCAUGCCAAGUACAAUUGGACGCUCUUAGUGAGGGAACAUCUUAACAAAAGCUUGGGUGAGGAAGGCCUCACAAGGCAGCCCCUCUUAUCAAAACCAGCUUCAUUCCUCUCACAUCCACUCCCUGAAUGCUGUAUGGAGGGGAAGAUGAAUGCCCCAAAUGGAUGGAACGUGGCGACAAAGCUGUUGUUUCAGAGUCAGGGCUAGGAAAGAAGGGGGCAACUUUGAGAAUGAAUUGGAAUAUGAAAUUGACGUAGUUGAAUUGCCAGAAUCUUAUGACAGUGGUAAUGUUACUCUGGUCUGGGACCGGGACGAGGAAAUGGACCCAAAUGACUAAAAUAGGAUGUGCAGAUUACUUACCAUUAGCAGCGGUAUUUGAUAUUCAACAAUUUCUUACUGUUUUAUCAUUCAGCGGCUUCUACUAACCCUUCCAGAGGAAAUCGACAUUCAAAUUUAUUCUGUGUAAGGUUGGUGGAUCCUCCCGUUCAUGCAUCAAAACUUUCCAAAUGUAUGACUGGGACAAAGAUUGAUGCGGUCAAGAAGGCAAGCUGAUAACAAUAUUACCUGUUGAUCUUUCGCCAUUGGUCAACUUAAAAGGCUCGAGAGUCGGUUGUGUAAUUUUUUUAAGUACAGAACCUACGAGGAAAACUGCAUACUGAAAUUUUCAUUCAGAGUUUUGGGAUCUCAUUUCUGUAAUUUUGAUAGACUUACAGUACAUAACAAACAAAGAAGAAAAGUACAUGCUGAAAUUUUUA